UACAGAGGUGGCAAGCGUUGUUCGGAAUUACUGGGCGUAAAGGGCGCGUAGGCGGCCAUCUAAGUCAGACGUGAAAUCCCCCGGCUUAACCUGGGAACUGCGUCUGAUACUGGAUGGCUUGAAUUCGGGAGAGGGAUGCAGAAUUCCAGGUGUAGCGGUGAAAUGCGUAGAUAUCUGGAGGAAUACCGGUGGCGAAGGCGGCAUCCUGGACCGAGAUUGACGCUGAUGAGCGAAAGCUAGGGGAGCAAACGGGG
rnacentral:rRNA from 1 species